AUUGAAAUUGGAUGUUAGGAACAGGUUCUGCACCAUGAAGGUGCUGGAACAGUGGAACAAGUUGCCCAGGGAGGUGUUUGGGGCUCUGUCCCUGAAGCUAUGCAAGGUGCCUCAAAAGGAAGCGGUGAGAAGAGGCACACAAUGGGGAACAGCAGCACCAAGAGCCCCCAGAAUACCUUUUGAAAGCUCCGGAGUGACGGCAGCAGGUUGAAUAUAAUGAACAGUGUUACAAACGGGGACACAAGACGACAGGCCUGGUGAAGAUGGAGUCUCCUGAAAACUGUGUGGCUGUAAUUACUGACUGCUGGUGCUGUCUCAGUUGGCUUUGAACAAAGGUAACCGCCUUCAGCAAGUUAUAUUUCUUCAGCCAGCUAAAAUGAAACCAGUCAGACACAAAUAUUUAUGAUAACCAAAGUCAUUGUCUGCUUUUAUUACCUUAUUUCUGUUGCAGCUUUCAAGUCUCCCAGACCAACAGCACAAGAGAAUUAAACAGUAAAGCACUGAAUUGUUUUCAAAUUAGACUUCCAAAGCUAGAAAUGAAUUUGUAUUUAUAGGAAGAUAAAAAGCUCUUCUUUGGGACACUUUGAUUGCAUGCCACAAAUGUUUCUCAAUAACUCAUUUGGUUUGUUGAUGAAGAAUUUGUCAAACAGAAAUCAGUGAGAAGUGAGACCUCUACCUCUCUGCACAGGAGCUCUCCUCGACAAACAGAAGCAGGAAUGAGUUUGGUUGUAAAGAAUGCUGCAUGGAGACCGUGUGGUGCUGUGGGAAAUGGCAAGACAGAGGAAUCACAGAAACACAGAAUUGUCAAGGUUGGAAGGAUCAUCCAGUUCCAGCCUCCCUGCCAUGGGAUCAGGUUGCCCACAGCCAUAUCCAGCCUGGUCUUAAAAGCAUCCAGAGAUGAAGCUUCCACCACCUCCCUGGGCAACCUGUGCCAGUUUCUCACUGCCCUCAUGCUGAAGAACUUCUUCUUAAUGUCUAAUCUAAAUCUGCCCUCCUCUAGCUUGGAUCCAUUCCCCCCAGUCCUAUCACUACCUGACACCCUUAGAAGCCCUUCCCCAGCUUUCUUGUAGCCCACUUCAGACAUUGGAAGGAAAAUUCAGGCUAAUCCAUGUUUUCUCACCUGUGACCUGCUAAAUUCCAGAAAUGAUCUCACUUGGACCUAGUAGUAAUCAUACAGCAAAAAAUAAAAUAAUCAUAGGAGCAGCAUAUGAACAUCAAAAAUGAGAUAAAAAGGCAGCAAGGUGAGACAGAAUAUUAUCUCUGGUGAAGUUAUUUCUGUUAGCACCUGCCUGCCCACCUCCUGCCUCCUUUUACCUCUUAAAAAAAUGAAUCUAAAGAUGUAUUUAUGAACAUUAGUGAUAACCAUUAGGUUUUAUAACAUAGAAGAAUGCUGAAGCUAUUACAUCAUUAUUCCUCAUCUUGAUCCCAUACUCAUUCAUGGUCAAUUACUUGUGGAAGAAGAAAAAUAACCACAAUGGAAAACAGAAUAGGUUCACAGGAGGGCAACA